CAGCUAUGCCUGUUGUACUCUGUGAUGACUCUGGAUAACUUCACUGAUCGCAUCGGCCUUGUGUCGGCCACGGAUCUUUCAAAUGUCUGCCCUAUCAACUGUCGAUGGUAGGUGACCUGCCUACCAUGGUGAUAACGGGUAACGGGGAAUCAGGGUUCGAUUCCGGAAAGGGAGCCUGAAAAACGGCUACCACUUCUAAGGAAGGCAGCAGGCGCGAAAAUUACCCACUCCCGGCACGGGGAGGUAGUGACGAAAAAUACGAAUACGGGACUCAACUGAGGCUCCGUAAUUCGAAUGAGUACACUUUAAAUCCUUUAACGAGGACCAAUUGGAGGGCAAGUCUGGUGCCAGCAGCCGCGGUAACUCCCGCUCCAAAAGCGUAUAUUAAAGUUGCUGCAGUUAAAAAGCUCGUAAUUGGAUCUGGGUGGUGUGGCCACAUGCCGUUGCUCGUACUACUGCCUAGACUACGGUCAAGGUGGGAGUGCGGGUCGGUGUAGUGGCCGUGCAACU
rnacentral:rRNA from 1 species